GUGCCUAUAGCUCAGUAAGAUAGAGUGUGCGAUUCCUAAUCGCAAGGUCAUCGGUUCGAUCCCGAUUAGGCACGCCA
rnacentral:tRNA from 1 species